rnacentral:rRNA from 1 species
CAGCAGCCACGGGAAUACGAAGGGGGCUAGCGUUGCUCGGAAUCACUGGGCGUAAAGGGUGCGUAGGCGGGUCUUUAAGUCAGGGGUGAAAUCCUGGAGCUCAACUCCAGAACUGCCUUUGAUACUGAAGAUCUUGAGUUCGGGAGAGGUGAGUGGAACUGCGAGUGUAGAGGUGAAAUUCGUAGAUAUUCGCAAGAACACCAGUGGCGAAGGCGGCUCACUGGCCCGAUACUGACGCUGAGGCACGAAAGCGUGGGGAGCAAACAGGAUUAGAUACCCGGGUAGUCCCUGUCUCUUAUAA